CCUACGGGAGGCAGCAGUGAGGAAUAUUGGUCAAUGGGCGCGAGCCUGAACCAGCCAAGUCGCGUGAAGGAUGACUGCCCUACGGGUUGUAAACUUCUUUUAUAAGGGAAUAAAGUGAGGCACGUGUGCACUUUUGUAUGUCCUUUAUGAAUAAGGAACGGCUAACGCCGUGCCAGCAGCCGCGGUAAUACGGCGGAUCCACGAGUUAUCCGGAUUUAGUGGGUUUAAAGGGAGCGUAGAUGGGUUUGUAAGUCAGUUGUGAAAGUUUGCGGCUUAACCCUAAAAUUGCAGUUGAUACUGGCAGCCUUGAGUGCAGGUGAGGUAGGCGGAAUUCGUGGUGUAGCGGUGAAAUGCUUAGAUAUCACGAAGAACUCCGAUUGCGAAGGCAGCCUACUAAACUGCAACUGACAUUGAUGCUCGAAAGUGUGGGUAUCAAACAGGAUUAGAUACCCGAGUAGUC
rnacentral:rRNA from 1 species